UGUCCAGGGAUGGGAAUCGAACCCACAGUGUUUGACAAUUAAAAAUUAUUCAUUGUCUUCUAGACAAUGUUAACACUCAACCAGGAGGGUAAAAUAUUUACAAUUAACAAUCGUCAGGAAUUAAGGCAUCGCCUCCUAAGCUUAGCCAUAUCGAAGCCAACAAUGGAACCCACAGUGUUGCGCUUACCGGGCAGAGGCCAUGUCCACUAGGCUACCUUGGAC